GAAAUGCGAUAAGUAAUGUGAAUUGCAGAAUUCAGUGAAUCAUUGAAUCUUUGAACGCACCUUGCGCUCCUUGGUAUUCCUUGGAGCAUGCCUGUUUGAGUAUCAUGAAAUCUUCAAAGUAAAUCUUUUGUUAACUCAAUUGGUUUCUACUUUGGUAUUGGAGGUCUUUGCAGCUUCACACCUGCUCCUCUUUGUUCAUUAGCUGGAUCUCAGUGUUAUGCUUGGUUCCACUCGGCGUGAUAAGUUAUCUAUCGCUGAGGACACUGUAAAAGGUGGCCAAGGUAAAUGCAGAUGAACCGCUUCUAAUAGUCCAUUGACUUGGACAAUACUUUUAUGAUCAGAUCUCAAAUCAGGUAGGACUACCCGCUGAACUUAAGC
rnacentral:misc_RNA from 1 species